UAGGGAAAUCAUCUACUUAAAUCCCAGGCAUCUAGGACAGUAGGUACAUCAUCCACUUAAAUCCUAGGCAUCCAAGUAGGUGGGUCGUCGCCCUCCACCACACUUGGGGACGAUCAACCUCCGGGACAGUAGGGAAAUCAUCUACUUAAAUCCCAGGCAUCUAGGACAGUAGGGACAUCAUCCACUUAGAUCCUAGGCAUCCAAGAAGGUGGGUCGUUUUGGCCGAAGAGGGAAAUCAUCUACUUAAAUCCCAGGCAUCUAGGACAGUAGGGACAUCAUCCACUUAGAUCCUAGGCAUCCAAGUAGGUGGGUCGUCGCCCUCCACCACACUUGGGGAACAUAAACCUCUGGGA
rnacentral:lncRNA from 1 species